AGAGUUUGAUCCUGGCUCAGGACGAACGCUGGCGGCGUGCUUAACACAUGCAAGUCGAACGGAAAGGCCCUUCGGGGUACUCGAGUGGCGAACGGGUGAGUAACACGUGGGUGAUCUGCCCUGCACUCUGGGAUAAGCCUGGGAAACUGGGUCUAACACCGGAUAGGACCGCAUGCUUCAUGGUGUGUGGUGCAAAGCUUUUGCGGUGUGGGAUGAGCCCGCGGCCUAUCAGCUUGUUGGUGGGGUAAUGGCCUACCAAGGCGACGACGGGUAGCCGGCCUGAGAGGGUGACCGGCCACACUGGGACUGAGAUACGGCCCAGACUCCUACGGGAGGCAGCAGUGGGGAAUAUUGCACAAUGGGCGCAAGCCUGAUGCAGCGACGCCGCGUGAGGGAUGACGGCCUUCGGGUUGUAAACCUCUUUCAGUAGGGACGAAGCGAAAGUGACGGUACCUACAGAAGAAGGACCGGCCAACUACGUGCCAGCAGCCGCGGUAAUACGUAGGGUCCGAGCGUUGUCCGGAAUUACUGGGCGUAAAGAGCUCGUAGGUGGUUUGUCGCGUUGUUCGUGAAAACUCACAGCUUAACUGUGGGCGUGCGGGCGAUACGGGCAGACUAGAGUACUGCAGGGGAGACUGGAAUUCCUGGUGUAGCGGUGGAAUGCGCAGAUAUCAGGAGGAACACCGGUGGCGAAGGCGGGUCUCUGGGCAGUAACUGACGCUGAGGGGCGAAAGCGUGGGUAGCGAACAGGAUUAGAUACCCUGGUAGUCCACGCCGUAAACGGUGGGUACUAGGGUGGGGGUUUCCUUCCUUGGGAUCCGUGCCGUAGCUAACGCAUAAAGUACCCCGCCUGGGGAGUACGGUCGCAAGACUAAAACUCAAAGGAAUUGACGGGGGCCCGCACAAGCGGCGGAGCAUGUGGAUUAAUUCGAUGCAACGCGAAGAACCUUACCUGGGUUUGACAUGCACAGGACGUAUCUAGAGAUAGGUAUUCCCUUGUGGCCUGUGUGCAGGUGGUGCAUGGCUGUCGUCAGCUCGUGUCGUGAGAUGUUGGGUUAAGUCCCGCAACGAGCGCAACCCUUGUCCUAUGUUGCCAGCGGGUAAUGCCGGGGACUCGUAGGAGACUGCCGGGGUCAACUCGGAGGAAGGUGGGGAUGACGUCAAGUCAUCAUGCCCCUUAUGUCCAGGGCUUCACACAUGCUACAAUGGCCAGUACAGAGGGCUGCGAAGCCGUAAGGUGGAGCGAAUCCCUUAAAGCUGGUCUCAGUUCGGAUUGGGGUCUGCAACUCGACCCCAUGAAGUCGGAGUCGCUAGUAAUCGCAGAUCAGCAACGCUGCGGUGAAUACGUUCCCGGGCCUUGUACACACCGCCCGUCA
rnacentral:rRNA from 1 species